rnacentral:rRNA from 1 species
ACUCCUACGGGAGGCAGCAGUAGGGAAUAUUGCACAAUGGGGGAAACCCUGAUGCAGCAACGCCACGUGUGGGAUGACGCAUUUCGGUGUGUAAACCACUGUCAGUUGGGACUAAAAUGAAUGUACCAUCAAAGGAAGCACCGGCUAACUUCGUGCCAGCAGCCGCGGUAAUACGAGGGGUGCAAGCGUUGUUCGGAAUCACUGGGCGUAAAGGGUGCGUAGGCGGACGCGCAAGUCAGAUGUUUAAUUUCGAGGCCUAACUUCGAGUUUGCAUUUGAAACUGCGUGUCUUGAAUAGAUCAGAGGUUGAUGGAAUACUUGGUGUAGCGGUGGAAUGCGUAGAUAUCAAGUAGAACACCAAUGGCGAAGGCAGUCAACUGGGAUCAUAUUGACGCUGAGGCACAAAGCGUGGGUAGCAAACAGGAUUAGAUACCCUGGUAGGAUAGCG